rnacentral:rRNA from 1 species
GAUGAACGCUAGCGGGAGGCCUAACACAUGCAAGCCGAGCGGUAGAGUUUCUUCGGAAACUUGAGAGCGGCGCACGGGUGCGUAACACGUGUGCAACCUGCCUUUAUCUGGGGGAUAGCCUUUCGAAAGGAAGAUUAAUACCCCAUAAUAUAAUGAUUGGCAUCAAUUAUUAUUGAAAACUCCGGUGGAUAGAGAUGGGCACGCGCAAGAUUAGAUAGUUGGUGAGGUAACGGCUCACCAAGUCAAUGAUCUUUAGGGGUCCUGAGAGGGAGAUCCCCCACACUGGUACUGAGACACGGACCAGACUCCUACGGGAGGCAGCAGUGAGGAAUAUUGGACAAUGGGUGAGAGCCUGAUCCAGCCAUCCCGCGUGAAGGAUGACGGUCCUAUGGAUUGUAAACUUCUUUUGUACAGGGAUAAACCUACCCUCGUGAGGGUAGCUGAAGGUACUGUACGAAUAAGCACCGGCUAACUCCGUG